rnacentral:rRNA from 1 species
GACGAACGCUGGCGGCGUGCUUAACACAUGCAAGUCGAACGGAAAGUCCCUGCUUUUGUGGGGUGCUCGAGUGGCGAACGGGUGAGUAACACGUGAGUAACCUGCCCUUGACUUUGGGAUAACUUCAGGAAACUGGGGCUAAUACCGGAUAGGAGCUCAUGCUGCAUGGUGGGGGUUGGAAAGUUUCGGCGGUUGGGGAUGGACUCGCGGAUUAUCAGCUCGUUGGUGGGGUAGUGACUUACCAAGACUUUGACGGGUAGCCGGCCUGAGAGGGUGACCUGCCACAUUGGGACUGAGAUGCGACCCAGAGUGCUACGGGAGACAGCAGUAGCAAAUAUUGCACAAUGGGCGGAAGCCUGAUGCAGCAACGCCGCGUGCGGGAUGACGGCCUUCGGGUUGUAAACCGCUUUCGCCUGUAACGAAGCGUGAGUGACGGUAAUGGGUAAAGGAGCACCGGCUAACUACGUG